rnacentral:rRNA from 1 species
UAAUUAAAGAUUUAUCGGUACAAGAUGAUCAUGCGUCCCAUUAGCUUGUUGGUGUGGUAACGGCACACCAAGGCUACGAUGGGUAGGGGCCCUGAGAGGGGGAUCCCCCACACUGGUACUGAGACACGGACCAGACUCCUACGGGAGGCAGCAGUGAGGAAUAUUGGACAAUGGGCGAGAGCCUGAUCCAGCCAUGCCGCGUGCAGGAAGACUGCCCUAUGGGUUGUAAACUGCUUUUUUACGGGAAGAAACACCACUACGUGUAGUGGCUUGACGGUACCGUAAGAAUAAGGACCGGCUAACUCCGUGCCAGCAGCCGCGGUAAUACGGAGGGUCCGAGCGUUAUCCGGAAUCAUUGGGUUUAAAGGGUCCGUAGGCGGGCAAUUAAGUCAGUGGUGAAAGUCUGCAGCUCAACUGUAGAAU